rnacentral:rRNA from 1 species
GACGAACGCUGGCGGCGUGCUUAACACAUGCAAGUCGAACGGUGAAAGGGGCCUGCUUUUGUGGUCCUGGAUGAGUGGCGAACGGGUGAGUAACACGUGAGUAACCUGCCCCCUUCUUCUGGAUAACCGCAUGAAAGUGUGGCUAAUACGGGAUAUUCUGGGUCUGUCGCAUGGUGGGCCUGGGAAAGAUUGCGCCUUUUUUGGUGUUUUUGGUGGGGGAUGGGCUCGCGGCCUAUCAGCUUGUUGGUGGGGUGAUGGCCUACCAAGGCGGUGACGGGUAGCCCGGCCUGAGAGGGUGGACGGUCACACUGGACUGAGACACGGCCCAGACUCCUACGGGAGGCAGCAGUGGGGAAUAUUGCACAAUGGGCGCAAGCCUGAUGCAGCGACGCCGCGUGAGGGAUGGAGGGCUUCGGGUUGUGAACCUCUUUCGCCAGUGAAGCAUGGCCUGCCUCGU